UGGCCUUAGCUUGCUAAGGCCGAUGGCGACCGGCGCACGGGUGAGUAACACGUAUCCCUUCUGCCGUCUACCCUUGGACAGCCUUCUGAAAGGAAGAUUAAUACAAGAUGGCAUCAUGAGUUCACAUGUUCACAUGAUUAAAGGUAUUCCGGUAGACGAUGGGGAUGCGUUCCAUUAGAUAGUAGGCGGGGUAACGGCCCACCUAGUCUUCGAUGGAUAGGGGUUCUGAGAGGAAGGUCCCCCACAUUGGAACUGAGACACGGUCCAAACUCCUACGGGAGGCAGCAGUGAGGAAUAUUGGUCAAUGGGCGCAGGCCUGAACCAGCCAAGUAGCGUGAAGGAUGACUGCCCUAUGGGUUGUAAACUUCUUUUAUAAAGGAAUAAAGUCGGGUAUGCAUACCCGUUUGCAUGUACUUUAUGAAUAAGGAUCGGCUAACUCCGUGCCAGCAGCCGCGGUAAUACGGAGGAUCCGAGCGUUAUCCGGAUUUAUUGGGUUUAAAGGGAGCGUAGAUGGAUGUUUAAGUCAGUUGUGAAAGUUUGCGGCUCAACCGUAAAAUUGCAGUUGAUACUGGAUAUCUUGAGUGCAGUUGAGGCAGGCGGAAUUCGUGGUGUAGCGGUGAAAUGCUUAGAUAUCACGAAGAACUCCGAUUG
rnacentral:rRNA from 1 species